rnacentral:rRNA from 1 species
AUACUGCCCUACACGACCGUACCGCAAACCGACACUGGUGCGCGAGAUGAGUAUUCUAAGGCGCUUGAGAGAACUCAGGAGAAGGAACUCGGCAAAUUGACACCGUAACUUCGGAAGAAGGUGUGCCUUUAGUAGGUGAACCUGUACAAGGGGAGCCCAAUGAGGUUGCAAAAAAUCGGUGGCUGCGACUGUUUAAUAAAAACACAGCACUCUGCAAACACGAAAGUGGACGUAUAGGGUGUGACGCCUGCCCGGUGCUGGAAGAUUAAAUGAUGGGGUGCAAGCUCUUGAUUGAAGUCCCAGUAAACGGCGGCCGUAACAAUAACGGUCCUAAGGUAGCGAAAUUCCUUGUCGGGUAAGUUCCGACCUGCACGAAUGGCGUAACGAUGGCCACACUGUCUCCUCCUGAGACUCAGCGAAGUUGAAAUGUUUGUGAUGAUGCAAUCUCCCCGCGGAAAGACGGAAAGACCCCAUGAACCUUUACUGUAGCUUUGUAUUGGACUUUGAACAGAUCUGUGUAGGAUAGGUGGGAGGCUUUGAAGUGUGGUCGCUAGAUCGCAUGGAGCCAACGUUGAAAUACCACCCUGGUGUGUUUGAGGUUCUAACCUAGGCCCGUAAUCCGGGUCGGGGACAGUGCAUGGUAGGCAGUUUGACUGGGGCGGUCUCCUCCCAAAGCGUAACGGAGGAGUUCGAAGGUACGCUAGGUACGGUCGGACAUCGUGCUAAUAGUGCAAUGGCAUAAGCGUGCUUAACUGCGAGACUGACAAGUCGAGCAGAUGCGAAAGCAGGACAUAGUGAUCCGGUGGUUCUGUAUGGAAGGGCCAUCGCUCAACGGAUAAAAGGUACUCUGGGGAUAACAGGCUGAUACCGCCCAAGAGUUCAUAUCGACGGCGGUGUUUGGCACCUCGAUGUCGGCUCAUCUCAUCCUGGGGCUGUAGCCGGUCCCAAGGGUAUGGCUGUUCGCCAUUUAAAGAGGUACGUGAGCUGGGUUUAAAACGUCGUGAGACAGUUUGGUCCCUAUCUUCCGUGGGCGCUGCAGAUUUGAGGAAGCCUGCUCCUAGUACGAGAGGACCGGAGUGGACACACCUCUGGUGUAUCGGUUGUCACGCCAGUGGCAUUGCCGAGUAGCUAUGUGUGGAAGAGAUAACCGCUGAAAGCAUCUAAGCGGGAAACUCGUUUCAAGAUGAGAUCUGCCGGGGCCUUGAGCCCCCUAAAGAGUCGUUCAAGACCAGGACGUUGAUAGGUCGGGUGUGGAAGCGCAGUAAUGCGUUAAGCUAACCGAUACUAAUUGCUCGUGCGGCUUGACCAA